CCUACGGGUGGCAGCAGUGGGGAAUAUUGCGCAAUGGGCGAAACCCUGACGCAGCGACGCCGCGUGAGGGAUGGAGGUCUUCGGAACGUAAACCUCUGUCAGCAGGGAAGAACGUGAACUGUGCUAAUCAACAGAGCCUUGCCGGUACCUGCACAGGCAGCACCGGCUAACUUAGUGCGCGCAGCCGCGGUCGGACGGAGGGGGCGAGCGUUAUUCGGAAUUACUGGGCGAAAAGCGCGCGUAAGCGGUAGGGUAAGGCCGGGGUGAAAGCCGGGGGCGCAACGGGGGAACUGCCUUUGAAACUGUACAGCUGGAGUGUAGGAGAGGAAAGUGGAAUUCCAGGGGUAGCGGUGAAAUGCGUAGAUAUUAGGAGGAACAUCAGUGGCGAAGGCGACUUACUGGCACGUAACUGACGUUGAGGCGCGAAAGCGUGGGGAGCAAACAGGAUUAGAUACCCGUGUAGUC
rnacentral:rRNA from 1 species